GAGUAGCUUAUACUCCGACGGUCAGUUACAGAUCAGUUUCAACGCUCGUAUAUUUAUUAUAAAUCCACUCAAUAAACUUGUAACUGUCAGUGCCUUUGUUGGGAUUCUGCCCCCACAUUUUGAAGCUGCCAGUGUUACAAAUGGAGCCCCCAGUGAGGAUUGUCAAGUGACAGGAGUGGACCAGCGGAGCAUUUGAACAGAUGUUCGUAUUGAUACUUAAAAAGCAGUCACAGUGCUAACCUCCCCCAAGGCUGAGAGAGACCAGGUGGAGAGUAGCUUAUACUCCGACGGUCAGUUACAGAUCAGUUUCAACGCUCGUAUAUUUAUUAUAAAUCCACUCAAUAAACUUGUAACUGUCA